UCCCUGGUGGUCCAGUGGCUAAGACUCUGUACUCCCAGUGCAGGGGCCCAGGUUCGAUCCCUGGUCGAGGAA
rnacentral:tRNA from 1 species